GACAGAGGUGCCGAGCGUUAGGCGGAAUCACUGGGCUUAAAGCGUGUGUAGGCGGGCCGUUAAGUAUCUUCUGAAAUCCCCCGGCUCAACCGGGGAAUGGCUGGAUAUACUGGCGGUCUUGAGCGAUCUAGGGGCAGAUGGAACAAGUGGUGGAGCGGUGAAAUGCGUAGAUAUCACUUGGAACGCCAAAGGUGAAAACAGUCUGCUGGGGAUCUGCUGACGCUGAGACACGAAAGCCAGGGGAGCGAACGGG
rnacentral:rRNA from 1 species